rnacentral:rRNA from 1 species
UAAAGCAAAGAAGAGCGCAGAGUGAAUGCCUUGGCAUUGGGAGCCGAUGAAGGACGUGGUUAACUGCGAUAAGCUGCGGGGAGCUGUAAGCAAGCUUUGAUCCGCAGAUUUCCGAAUGGAGCAAUCCACAUGAAGUAGUUCAUGUAUCCAUACGUGAAUUCAUAGCGUAUGGAGGGGAACCGCCUGAACUGAAACAUCUAAGUAGGGCGAGGAAGAGAAAUCAACCGAGAUUCCGUAAGUAGUGGCGAGCGAACGCGGAAGAGGCCAAACCGAGAGAAGAAAUUCUUUCGGGGUUCGGACUGCAUUUAGUAUUCUUGAUCUUUAGUCGAACAGUCUGGGAAGGCUGACAAGAGAGUGUGAUAGUCACGUAGACGAAAAGGAGAAAGAGCGAGCAGUAUCCAGAGUACCGCGGGGCACGUGAAAUCCCGUGGGAAGAUGGGGGGACCACCCUCCAAGCCUAAAUACUACCCAAUGACCGAUAGCGUAAAGUACUGUGAAGGAACGGUGAAAAGAACCCCGGGAGGGGAGUGAAAAGAACCUGAAACUCUGUGCUUACAAGCACAUAGAGCACGUCAAUGUGUGAUAUGGUACCUUUUGUAGAAUGGUCCGGCGAGUUAUGGUAUGCAGCGUGGUUAAGGACUUCAGGUCUGAAGCCGAAGCGAGAGCGAGUCUGACAAGGGCGAAAAGUUGUAUGCCAUAGACCCGAAACCGGGUGACCUAGCCAUGUCCAGGCUGAAGUGGAGGUAAAACUCCAUGGAGGGCCGAACCGACCUCCGUUGAAAAGGCGGCGGAUGAGAUGUGGCUAGCGGAGAAAUUCCAAUCGAACCCGGAGAUAGCUGGUUCUCCCCGAAAUAGCUUUAGGGCUAGCGUUGUAUUAGAUUACCGGAGGUAAAGCACUGAAUGGGCUAGGGGCUGAGAAGUUACUGAACCCUAUCAAACUAAGAAUGCCGGAUAAUUGAUGUACAGCAGUCAGACUAUGUGAGAUAAGUCUCAUAGUCAAAAGGGAAACAGCCCAGACCCACAGCUAAGGUCCCAAAAUGGAUUUAAGUGGAAAAGGAUGUGGAAUUGCACAGACAACCAGGAUGUUGGCUUAGAAGCAGCCACUCAUUAAAAGAGUGCGUAAUAGCUCACUGGUCGAGUGAUUCUGCGCCGAAAAUUUAACGGGGCUAAACUGUACACCGAAGCUUGGGAUACAUCUAAUGUAUGGUAGGAGAGCGUUGUAUACGGGGUGAAGUCAGAGCGGAAGCGCUGGUGGACUGUAUACAAGUGAGAAUGCCGGAAUGAGUAGCGAGAAUUAUGUGAGAAUCAUAAUGGCCGAAAGUCUAAGGUUUCCUGAGGAAGGUUCGUCCUCUCAGGGUUAGCCGGGAGCUAAGGUGAGGCGGAAACGCGUAGCCGAUGCACAUACGGUAGAAAUUCCGUAGCCUCCGAAGAUUUAAGCACAGGGACACUUUUGAAGGGCUGAGCCGGGCGUUGGUUGCCCCGGUCGAAAGGGACACGAUUGAGUGGAAGUCAGUUUGGAAAGAGGCGAGAAAAGCUGUGUGUAUAUGGAAGGAGCCCGUACCGCAAACCGACACAGGUAGACAGGAAGAAGAUUCUAAGGCCAGCGGGAGAAGGGUUGUUAAGGAACUCGGCAAGUUGACCCCGUAACUUCGGGAGAAGGGGUGCUCAUGAAAGUGAGCCGCAGAGAAUAGGCCCAAGCAACUGUUUAGCAAAAACACAGGUCUGUGCUAAAUCGAAAGAUGACGUAUACGGGCUGACACCUGCCCGGUGCUGGAAGGUUAAGGGGAUGUGUGCAAGCACUGAACCGAAGCCCCAGUAAACGGCGGCCGUAACUAUAACGGUCCUAAGGAAGCGAAAUUCCUUGUCAGGUAAGUU